GGAAGGAUCAUUACCGGUAAAUUUUACCGAAAAGAACUAUACAGAACAACUACUCGCGUCAACUUACUGGUACACUGAAAAAUUAGAUAUCGGUCUUGAAUUAUCGGCUGGUAUCUGAAGCAAAAAAAAUUACCGUCAGUGUUUCCAGUCCCUAACGUAAUCUUCGGUAUUCACUAUAAAAUUUGGGUUUCCGGCUACGGCUUAGGUACCCUGAAGGUAAAAAAUUUGGGUUUCCGGUCUUUAAACAGUACCUGACUGACACUCUUACUGCGUAUAGACUUAGGUACCUUGAAGCUAAAGUGAUACCAAUUUGGGUUUCCGGCUACGGCUUAGGUACCCUGAAGGGAUAAAUUGGAGUUUCCGUUCUUGCAUUCAACACCGUGCAAUAAUACAGGUACUCUGAAGGGAGGAUUACGUUACGGGAACAUUUUUUUUUUUCUGGGUUAUCGGAUCCAGGGUAAUCAACCGAUAUAUGAUAAAAAAUUUAUUUUUUAACCGAGCUUUCGGACUAACACCCCGAAUUCUCAAACUUUACAAUUGCCGUCAGUGGAUAUCUCGGCUACCAGGUCGAUGAAGAGCGCAGCAAAAUGCGUUACCUAGUGUGACAUGCAUACACUCGUGAAUCACCGACAUCUUGAACGUAACUGACAAAGCUAGCUUACGCUUGCUUUAAUCACGGUCGAGUGUCAAUAAUUAACCACAAAAUUGGGUGUUCGGUCUAACCCGUCGUCACCUUAAAUACAACCGAUACGACUAUCAGGGAAUUAGCAACUCCCCCAAACACCUAUUCGUAUUCGGGUUCCGUAACCCCGUGUAUUCGGGUAUAAUUAUUGAUUCUUCGGAUAAACUUGACCUCGGCCGUGAUAGACUACCCGCUGAAUUUAAGCAUAUCAAUAAGCGGAGGAAAAGAAAAUAACAAUGAUUCCCCUAGUAACUGCGAGUGAAACGGGAGAAGCGCAUCCUGAAUCCGGUGGUUUUUAAUCAUUGGAGUUGUGGGGUAGUGAACGUAACCAGAUAAGGGGUCAAGGUGAACUAACCUGAGAAGGUAGACCACAGAAGGUUAAAGUCCUGUAAUCUUGAUGACCAUGUCGUACGGUUGCGAUUCCGCGAGUCGCGUUGCCUGAGAUCGCAACGCUAACCGGGGGUAUGUUUCCCCGAACGCUAAAUAUUACUGGUAGACCGAUAGCGAACAAGUACCGUGAGGGAAAGGUCAAAAGAACUCUGGAAAGAGAGUGAAAAGAACUUGAAACUGACGUCAAGGAAGCGGUCUGGAAACUUGCGGCGGACCAUUUGGUUCCCGGUAAAUAGGUUUAGAUCGGGUCAUAUUUGUGCGGGGGAUAUCCUGUCAAAUACCCUUAUCUGGAUUUAUUUGCCGGUACUCCAAGUACCGUCACUCGAUAUACCGAUAAUCGCAUGACAAUGCCCGUUUCAGUACACCGUAAGAGAUUACGGGGGAAAUAGCGGUGAAAUAGUGUGAGUAUCGGUGAAAAAGUAGCAAGGGCCUUUAUCGGUAAACCUAUGGGGCAACUUUGCUGUACUGUUGGUGCGACUCUUGAGACAAUCCUCAGUGCGGUAAAUAUGGCUUCUAUGGUUAUCCUUGUUAUCGGGCAAAGUAUCCACACCGACCCGUCUUGAAACACGGACCAAGGAGUCCAACACCUAUGCGAGUUAAUCGGUAAUUAAACCGAUAAGCGAAAUGAAAGUGACCCGGUGAAAUCUUUAAGAUGGCAACCGGUACCGACACGGUUAUUUAUAUCCGAGUUUGAGUAUGAGCACAGGUGUUGGGACCCGAAAGAUAGUGAACUAUACCCGGGCAGAGUGAAGCCAGAAGAAAUUCUGGUGGAAGCUCGUAGAGAUACUGACGUGCAAAUCGUUCUCGGGAUCCAGGUAUAGCGGCGAAAGACUAAUCGAACUGUCUAGUAGCUGGUUUCCAC
rnacentral:misc_RNA from 1 species